rnacentral:tRNA from 1 species
GGACCGUUAGCUCAUCGGGAUAGAGCGGCAGUUUCGCAACUGUAGGUAGCAGGUUCGAGUCCUGCACGGUAUU